CCGCUUCAGAGUACAACUCGAGGGGUGGAAAGCUGUAACGCUAAUGGUAUGAAGAACGCAUAAGCGUAUAGCUUUUCCCCUUCGGUUUCUACCGCCAAUUCU
rnacentral:pre_miRNA from 13 species